AACGAACGCUGGCGGCAUGCCUAACACAUGCAAGUCGAACGAAGUCUUCGGACUUAGUGGCGCACGGGUGAGUAACAUGUGGGAAUUUACCUAAAGGUUCGGAAUAACUGCGGGAAACUGUAGCUAAUACCGGAUGUGUCCGAAAGGAGAAAGAUUUAUCGCCUUUAGAUGAGCCCGCACUAGAUUAGUUUGUUGGUGAGGUAAAAGCUCUACCAAGACUACGAUCUAUAGCUGAUUUGAGAGGAUGAUCAGCCACACUGGGACUGAGACACGGCCCAGACUCCUACGGGAGGCAGCAGUGGGGAAUAUUGGACAAUGGGGGAAACCCUGAUCCAGCAAUGCCGCGUGAGUGAAGAAGGCCUUCGGGUUGUAAAACUCUUUCAUCAAUGAAGAUAAUGACAUUAAUUGAAGAAGAAGCUCCGGCUAACUCCGUGCCAGCAGCCGCGGUAAUACGGAGGGGGCUAGCGUUGUUCGGAAUUACUGGGCGUAAAGCGUAUGUAGGCGGAUCAAAAAGUUAGAUGUGAAAUCCCUGGGCUCAACCCAGGAACUGCAUUUAAAACUAGUGAUCUAGAAUUUGGUAGAGGUUAGUAGAAUUUCCAGUGUAGAGGUGAAAUUCGUAGAUAUUGGAAAGAAUACCGGUGGCGAAGGCGACUAACUGGGCCAUUUUUGACGCUGAGAUACGAAAGCGUGGGUAGCAAACAGGAUUAGAUACCCUGGUAGUCCACGCAGUAAACGAUGAGUGCUAGUCGCUGGGUCAAAAGAUUCGGUGUCGAAGCUAACGCAUUAAGCACUCCGCCUGGGAAGUACGGUCGCAAGAUUAAAACUCAAAUAAAUUGACGGGGGCCCGCACAAGCGGUGGAGCAUGUGGUUUAAUUCGAAGCAACGCGAAGAACCUUACCAGACCUUGACAUGGUAUGUUUGAAUUACAGAAUCGUAAUUCUUCAGUUCGGCUGGCAUACACACAGGUGCUGCAUGGCUGUCGUCAGCUCGUGUCGUGAGAUGUUGGGUUAAGUCCCGCAACGAGCGCAACCCUCAUCUUUAGUUGCCAUCAGGUUAUGCUGGGCACUCUAAAGAAACUGCCGGUGAUAAGCUGGAGGAAGGCGGGGAUGACGUCAAGUCCUCAUGGCCCUUACGGUCUGGGCUACACACGUGCUACAAUGGUGGUGACAGUGGGCAGCUAUGUCGCGAGACAAAGCUAAUCCCAAAAAGCCAUCUCAGUUCAGAUUGGACUCUGCAACUCGAGUCCAUGAAGUUGGAAUCGCUAGUAAUCGUAGAUCAGCAUGCUACGGUGAAUACGUUCUCGGGCCUUGUACACACCGCCCGUCACGCCAUGGGAAUUGGUUUUACCUUAAGCCGGUGCGCUAACCGCAAGGAGGCAGCCGUCCACGGUAGGGUCAGUGACUGGGGCGAAGUCGUAACAAGGUAUCCGUAGGGGAACCUGCGGAUGGAUCACCUCCUUUCU
rnacentral:rRNA from 1 species